GGUGAGGUGAGGACCUGGUGGCCGCAGUUGUGGCACUGUGCGCAGGCGCGGAACUGACCGGACGGAGCGGGCGGCUGUGGCCUCGCCAGCUGGUGAGAAGCGGGCGAGGGUCCGAGGUUUAAAAAUAUCCUUUUUUGCUGAAGGAACACAUUUGCUGGUAUAGUUUCAGAAUGUCAAGUACUGUGUCCUACUGGAUCUUAAAUUCUACAAGGAACAGCAUUGCCACAUUGCAAGGGGGCAGACGCUUAUACUCCAGCUGAUAGGAUCUAUGCCUCUGGACCAGCUGAACUUACUGGUGCAGCUUUUUGUCCCUUCUACUGAGUCCCAUUCCAGAAACUUUGAGCCAUGCUAGGAGGGUGGAGUGCAAUGGCACGAUCUCAGCUCACCACAACCUCCGUCCCCGGGUUCAAGCGAUUCUCCUGCCUCAGCCUCCUGAGUAGCUCGGAUUACAGGUUUGUUUGUUUGUUCGUUUUUUGAGAUAGGAUCUGGCUCUGUCACCCAGGCUGGAGUGCAAUGGCAUGAUAUCUUCUUACUGCAACCUCUGCCUCCUGGGCU
rnacentral:sRNA from 1 species